AUUGAACGCUGGCGGCAGGCCUAACACAUGCAAGUCGAGCGGAGCGGCGGACGGGUGCGUAAUGCCUAGGAAUCUGCCUGGUAGUGGGGGAUAACGUCCGGAAACGGGCGCUAAUACCGCAUACUAUCAGAUGAGCCUAGGUCGGAUAAGCUAGUAGGUGGGGGAACGGCUCACUUAGGCGACGAUCCCUAGCUGGUCGGCGAGGAUGACCAGCCAGACUGGAACUGAGACACGGUCCAGACGCCUACGGGAGGAAGCAGGGGGGAAUAUUGCACAAUGGGCGCAAGCCUGAUGCAGCCAGUCCGCGUGUAUGAAGAAGGCCUUCGGGUUGUAAAGUACUUUCAGCGGGGAGGCGUUACCCGCAGAAGAAGCACCGGCUAACUCCGUGCCAGCAGCCGCGGUAAUUC
rnacentral:rRNA from 1 species